rnacentral:rRNA from 1 species
UGGCGGCAGGCCUAACACAUGCAAGUCGAACGGUAACAGGAAGAAGCUUGCUUCUUUGCUGACGAGUGGCGGACGGGUGAGUAAUGUCUGGGAAACUGCCUGAUGGAGGGGGAUAACUACUGGAAACGGUAGCUAAUACCGCAUAACGUCGCAAGACCAAAGAGGGGGACCUUCGGGCCUCUUGCCAUCGGAUGUGCCCAGAUGGGAUUAGCUAGUAGGUGGGGUAACGGCUCACCUAGGCGACGAUCCCUAGCUGGUCUGAGAGGAUGACCAGCCACACUGGAACUGAGACACGGUCCAGACUCCUACGGGAGGCAGCAGUGGGGAAUAUUGCACAAUGGGCGCAAGCCUGAUGCAGCCAUGCCGCGUGUAUGAAGAAGGCCUUCGGGUUGUAAAGUACUUUCAGCGGGGAGGAAGGGAGUAAAGUUAAUACCUUUGCUCAUUGACGUUACCCGCAGAAGAAGCACCGGCUAACUCCGUGCCAGCAGCCGCGGUAAUACGGAGGGUGCAAGCGUUAAUCGGAAUUACUGGGCGUAAAGCGCACGCAGGCGGUUUGUUAAGUCAGAUGUGAAAUCCCCGGGCUCAACCUGGGAACUGCAUCUGAUACUGGCAAGCUUGAGUCUCGUAGAGGGGGGUAGAAUUCCAGGUGUAGCGGUGAAAUGCGUAGAGAUCUGGAGGAAUACCGGUGGCCGAAGGCGGCCCCCUGGACGAAGACUGACGCUCAGGUGCGAAAGCGUG